rnacentral:lncRNA from 1 species
CCCCACCAAAAAGCCCAGAGCAGCCCCCAGGCCCACCCUGGCUGCUUAGGGGUCCCCUCGCUUGUGGGCUCUGCCCACAGCUGCUGAGGCCCAGCUAUUUUGCAAAUCAGGUGUAAUAUGAUACUGGCAACCAUAUUAUAUAAAAAUGAUAAUCUUAUUCUGUUUUUUUGUAUAUUAGGCAAUAGCUCCAGUUACACCUCUGCCAUAUUGACAAAAAUGUCAUCCUCACCCCCAUUGACAUUAGAAUGAAAAUCAUAGGGGAGUUUCAUUCCUUGCAAUGCUUAAUUCAAUGUAAUUGUUUUCUUGCUUACAUUAGUGACCAUAUCAAAGCAUGGUGUACACCUCUUGCCGUAUUAAGAGUAUUUCCCUAUGGGCAGCAACAUUUUCCUCUCCUUCUCUGGAUAUUAGGAACAAUAUUCCAGGACCAGAGUACAGCCCCAGUCACGUCGUGGUGACCAUAUCACAGCACGGUGUACUCCUCUUGCCGUAUUCAGAGGAUUUGCCUAUGGGCAGAAACAUUCUCCUCUCCUUAUCUGGAUAUUAGAAACAUUAUCACAGGACCGGCAAACAGCCGCAGUCAUAUCGUGAGUAAUGUCAUCUGUAAUCCCCUAGUUAUAGAAAACAACAUCACGGGGGUCUUGUGCACUUUAUGAGAUACUUAGAGUAAUGUUAGGAUUUGGGUAUUUUACAUGAGAGAGCAUAUUGAGUUUGUGUAUAUACUCCAAAACAGAGUAGAAAAGGGCAUUGUAUAUUUUUUCUGACAGAUUAUAUUCAGAGGAAUUUUGCUUUUAACAUUGGGAUGCCUAGAUAAUAUUUAGAUUUUUUCGAUUCACGUAAAUUUACAAUUUCGGUAUUUUACAUGAGAGAGCAUAUUGAGUAGGUGUAUAUACUCCAAAACAGAGUAGAAAAAAGCAUUGUAUAUUUUUUCUGACAGAUUAUAUUCAGAGCCAUUUUGCUUUUAACAAUUGGGGUGCUUAGAUAAUAUUUAGAUUUUUUUCGAUUCGCGUAAAAUUAGAAUUUUCGUAUUUUACAUAAGAGAGCAUAUUGAGUUGGUGUAUAUACCCCAAAACACAGCAGAAAAGGGCAUUGUAUAUUUUUCCUAACAGAUUAUAUUCAGAGUAAUUUUGCUUUUAACAUUGGGGUGCCUAGAUAAUAUUUAGGAUGUUUUCGAUUCGCGUAUUAUUAGAAUUUCGGUAUUUACAUGAGAGAGCAUAUUGAGUUGGUGUAUAUACUCCAAAACAGAGUCGAAAAAGGCAUUGUAUAUUUUUCUGACAGAUUAUAUUCAGAGAAAUUUUGCUUUUAACAUUGGUGUGCCUAGAUAAAUUUUAGAUU